ACAUGUCCGAUUGCAGCAUUGGCCUGUC
rnacentral:sRNA from 1 species